rnacentral:rRNA from 1 species
UACGUAGGGUGCAGGCGUUAAUCGGAAUUACUGGGCGUAAAGCGUGCGCAGGCGGUCUUUUAAGUCAGAUGUGAAAUCCCCGGGCUUAACCUGGGAACUGCGUUUGAAACUGGAAGGCUUGAGUGUGGCAGAGGGGGGUGGAAUUCCACGUGUAGCAGUGAAAUGCGUAGAGAUGUGGAGGAACACCAAUGGCGAAGGCAGCCUUCUGGGCCAACACUGACGCUCAUGCACGAAAGCGUGGGGAGCAAACAGG